GAUUUUACUUCUUGCCUUAGGAAGGUUCCAGCUAAUUUUGUGUAACAUAGUUGUGCCGGCUCUUCCAUGAAAAUUUUGUCUUUUUCUUUGUAGAAUCCUCAGUCCUUCAGAAAUAUUAAUUUCUAAACUGACUGUUCUGCUUAUACUUUCCCCUCUUUUUUGGUUAUUUAAUUCCUGUUAUAACACUCAAGGGCUGCUACUGGUCUUACAUUUAAUUUACUGCAUUUUAUUUUAUGAGAUUUCUGUGGCUUCUUGUUACAGGACUUUGUAUGAGAUUUUGUGGAGAGGUCCUGGUUAACUUUAAAGAACUCCUUGGGUUAGUUGGCUGAGAAUCAUUGGCUUUGGUUGGCUGCUGAGACUUGUGGGAGGACCAUUUGAAAGCGCCUACUUCUCCAAGACGGAGUCUCAUUCUGUUGCUCCGGCUGGAGUGCAGUGGUGUGAUCUUGGCUCACUGCAACCUCCGCCCCCCGGGUUCAAGCGAUUCUCCUACUUCAGCCUCCCCAGCUGAGAUUACAAGUGCACACCACCACACCUUGCUAAUUUUUGUAUUUUUAGUAGAGAUGGAGUUUUGCCAUGUUGGCCAGGCUGGUCUGGAACUCCUAACCUCAAGUGAUCUGCCCGCCUCCGCCUCCCAAAGUGCUGGGAUUACAGGCAUGAGCCACUGUGCCUGGCCCCCAAAUAUAUCUUUCUUAUGCUCUAUUGAUGUCAGAGGUUCUAAGAUAUCACCAAAUCACCUAUUUGAAUAUUUAAGCUCUAACUUGAUCAUCCUCUGUCCCUUUAGUUAAGAGUUGGGGCUGAAGGCAGCCUGUCUUUUCUUUCCCACUGUGGGAUAUAGGCCAUUUUCAACCUUUUCCUGCUUCAUUACUUGGCUACUGGGGUGACAUUCUUUCAGACUUCCAUGCAUCUCUUUAAAAAGCCCUAACACCUACUUGACAUUAGGCAAUAAAG
rnacentral:lncRNA from 1 species